GAACACUAAGUAAAAAGAGCUGCAGUGAAGACGGCAACAAAGUGCUUAGACAUACUGGCCAUGCUACACCGUUUACAAUAGGAUAUUCAGGCACAACAAUUUGGCUCCUGCUCCUGUCUAGUUGUUAUCAGCGCUAUUUACCCUGGGCAGUGAAUAAUGACAGAUAACAGGAAGAACUUCUGGAAGGAGAAGAGCUUUCUCCGCCGCACAUCUCCCUGCAGGUGGUUGUAGCUGCGUACAUGCCUCCCAAG